UCUGAUACCGCUUGCAGAAGGGAAUUGAAUAGAUGUCUCCCUAUUGCUGUUUCUGAUAAGCACUUGUGCAGCCCCAUCAGCACCUCGAUUUCUUCUUGGUGAGUCCAUGGGAACAGCCCCACUGCAAACAACCCAUUCCUGCUCUCCUCUUUCCUCUAAACCUCAACCUCCUCCUACCUGGCAGUCCACAGGCCUACAGCUUCUCCUCAGUGGGAAAGACAUCAGCUUGGAAAACCACUUGGAAAGCCAACGUUAUCCUAGAAAAGCUUUUUAAAUGACCCAGCAGGACAAGUCUCCGGAUGGCCUUGGCCAACCCGGUGCUUCCCUCUUUUCUUGGUUGUAGUUCUCAGAAUAACUAGAGAAUGUACUGGGAGUGUUGUCCUGAGAUAAGGAGGAACUGUCCUAAACCUGGACUCUGUUCCCAUCACACCUAGAACAGGAUGUCCUGCAACGCUUUAGCCCAAUGAUCCAAGUUGCCCUUGGGGUAUAAAACUUGACAGCAGAGGGCGUUCAGGGUCCCUCAGCUGCAGUGUGAAGUGGGACACACAGGUGAGACUCCAUCUGCCCUGGGCAGGUUCCUGAGCCUUGGGGGACCAGUUCACCCUACAUCCCAG
rnacentral:lncRNA from 10 species